rnacentral:lncRNA from 1 species
AAUUACUCAAAAGUAUUAAAAUUCACAAUAAAACAAAAUUAACGAAUAUUAUCAGAAGAAGAAAUCUACAAAUGGGAUCUCCAUUUCUGUUUCUUCUGUAAUCUGUAAUCUGUAAUCCAUUUCUUGAAGAACCCCAUCUCCCAAAUUCUUUAUCUUUGCCUUCUUGUUUCAAAUCUCAAUGUCUGCAGCUUUAGACAGUAGUAGAGGGAUGAGAGAGAUCCAAUCUUCUGGAUAUGUCCGCGGAGGGAUCGUCUGCGUCGCCACGCCCGGGAUCUUCGACUCGUUGCCGGAGAGUAGAUUGGUAGAUAAGGAGGAGGAGGAGGAG